GAUGAACGCUAGCGGCAGGCCUAAUACAUGCAAGUCGAACGGUGUCUUCGGACAUAGUGGCGCACGGGUGCGUAACACGUAUGCAACCUACCUUACAUUGGGGGAUAGCCUUUCGAAAGGGAGAUUAAUACCGCAUAAGACAGUAGCUGGGCAUCCAGCAGCUGUUAAAGAUUUAUCGAUGUAAGCUGGGCAUGCGUCCAAUUAGCUAGUUGGUGAGGUAACGGCCCACCAAGGCAAUGAUUGGUAGGGGAACUGAGAGGUCAAUCCCCCACACUGGCACUGAGAUACGGGCCAGACUCCUACGGGAGGCAGCAGUAGGGAAUAUUGGGCAAUGGACGCAAGUCUGACCUAGCCAUGCCGCGUGCAGGAUGAAGGCGUUAUGCGUUGUAAACUGCUUUUAUACAGGAAGAAACGACUCUUGCGAGAGGCAUUGACGGUACUGUAUGAAUAAGCACCGGCUAACUCCGUGCCAGCCGCCGCGGUAAUAC
rnacentral:rRNA from 1 species